rnacentral:pre_miRNA from 14 species
UUCUUGGAGUUGGGGGUGGGGGGAGAGGUAGUAGAGGCCGGGAGGAAGGAGGUGAAAGACCCCCGGAGUGGGGAGACCCUCACUCAAGUCUUGGGAUGACGCGACCCCCCAAGAACUCACACAAGACC